rnacentral:rRNA from 1 species
GACGAACGCUGGCGGCGUGCUUAACACAUGCAAGUCGAACGGUGAAGCGCCUUCCUUUUUGGUGGGUGUGGAUGAGUGGCGAACGGGUGAGUAACACGUGAGUAACCUUCCCCCUUCUUCUGGAUAACCGCAUGAAAGUGUGGCUAAUACGGGAUAUUCUGGGUCUGUCGCAUGAUGGGUCUGGGAAAGAUUUUGUUUCGGUUGGGGAUGGGCUCGCGGCUUAUCAGCUUGUUGGUGGGGUGAUGGCCUACCAAGGCGGUGAGGGGUAGCCGUCAUGAGAGGGUCGACGGUCACACGGGGACGGAGAGGCGGCCCAGACUACGACAGGAGGCAGCAGGGGAGAAUAUUGAACAGGGGGAGGAAGCCUGAUGCAGCGACGCCGCGUGAGGGAUGGAGGCCUGCGGGUAGUGAACCUCUUUCGGGAGUGAAGCAGUCCGGCCGCGUUUGUGGGUGGGUUGACGGUAGCUGGAUAAGAAGCGCCGGCUAACUACGUG